rnacentral:rRNA from 1 species
AUGCAAGCUGAAAACAUAAAGCUUGAUGAUGAUGUUGUUGUGCUUGGUACAGUUGAUGAAGAAGACAUUACUCAAAAUAAUAUAAUACCAUUGUCCUAUGCUGGCAAGGCUCGCUGUAUGGCUGACGCCUAUCGUGAUGGACUGGCUGGUUCCCAUGUCCACAACUUACCUGAUAUAAUCACCAGCUUCACAUGUAACCCAAAGUGGGCUCAAAUAACAAAUACGCUUACGCCUGAACAACAGCAGAUCAAUAAGGCUGCUGAGACUGAUCGUAUCUACCGCACGAAGCUACUUGAGUAUCUGCAAAAGAUCAAAGAAGGGAAGAUAUUUGGGCUUGUGAUCGCUGUUAUCCACAACACUGAAUUUAACAAAAAUGGACUGCCACAUGCCCAAGUCCUUGUUUGGCAGAAGAAAAAACAGAACAAAGUGGUCAUCCCAACUUUGAUGAAAACCUUUGUUUCAGCCACUGGAUAUGAAAUUACUGAUACUGUUGGUGAUAUUCCUGCGUAUGAUCAGAUCCCUAAGCUAGAAAGAGGUGAGCCGGCUGUUGCAGCGUCUGAUUCAUCAGCCACGUUAGAGUUGAGCUGA